rnacentral:lncRNA from 1 species
UGGGCUAUUCAUAAAUGUGCCCCUCUGGUCAAUCAGCUUGUUUUGUCUGUUCUGUGGCUUUAUGGAGGCUUUGUUUGCUCACCUGAAGUUUUGUUUGUUUGUUUAGUACUUUUCAUCCCCCAUCCCUGCCUUCGCAGACCCCUUUCCUCCCUUCCGCAGGCAGUUGAGCAGACCCCGGUUUCUAGCCUCGUUCUCCUCAAUCUCUCUUCCAUCACGCUGCUUUUGCAAUCUUUCCUACACGCAAAUCUCAGGAGACGGAGUUGCCACGUAAUCCUGAUGGUGCCUUCCUAUGACUUAGAGAAAAGUUCAGAGCCUGUGGAAUGGAUCUCAGGGCUCCCCUAGAUGUUCUCUCCUCUCUUCAGCCACCGCCUCUCCGGCUACAUGGACCCACCUUCCGAUCUCCAAACUCACUCUGUGGUCGUGCUGCUCUGGGCCUUUGCGUAAGCUGCUUUCUCUUUCUGGUCUGCUCUUCUCAGUAGUCAGCUUGAUGAGCUACCCCGGCUUAUUUUUCUUGCCCUCACUUAAGCCUUAUCUCCUCUUAAGUCUUCCCUGACUUACCCAAGACCUUGUCCUCAUCCCCUCUUGUUUCUCUUGUUUUCUGGUUGUUUGAGUCCUAUCCCAAUGACAGCUCCUUUCACAUUAUUUUGCCAUUACUCGUGAAACCCAAGUGUACCAGGCUUCAGCAGUCUAAGGAAAAACGCAGCCGCCUUCAGUGCAGGGCACAUUCAAAGGGCUUCUCUCCGUCGUCUGUUCACACAGGAGCCUCCGUGCACAGUUUCCCUGUGCAAGGGAAAAGUUUCUCAGAGUUUCAAAGAGGGUCACAGUGGGUGUUUGAACCCAAAAGUCCCUGAGACAUGUGUCAGUCAACUUAGAAAGUUUUUUCUGCCAAGGUUAAGGACAUGCCCGUGACACAGCCUCAGGAGGUCUUGACAACAUGUGCCUGAGUUAGUUGGGGCACAGCUUGGUUUUAUACAUUUUAUGGAGACAUGAUACAUUGAUCAAUAUGUGUAAGAUGUAUAGUGGUUCGGUCUGGAAAGAUGGGAUGAUUUGAAGGGCGGGGUUGUGGAGGCUUUCAGGUCAUAGAUAGAUAAGAGACCAACUGUUGCAUUCUUUGAUUAGCCUUUCACUGAAUACACAAUUUACAUGUGAGAGGGACGUAUAGGAAUAGUCACUUAUGCCUCAGUCUGGCUUAGUGAAUCUGCAUUUUUACAGAAACAGUAGGACAGAGGAAGCAAUCCAAUAUGCGUUGGUUUCAGAUGAAUGGAGGAAGACUUUGAGUUCUGUCCUUUGUCUGGCGCCUGUGAAGAUAAGCUAUCAAUUAAUAUUGUCAGGGUGAAAUUCGACAGAACUGUUUUAGGCGAAAGAUCUCAAGACCCACGAGGAAUUUCCUUGUAGAUAAAUAUGAGCGAGGUGUGUAGCUUUGUAAAUCUUUGUGG